CGGGAGGCGGAGGUUGCAGUGAGCCGAGAGUGUGCCACUGCACUCCAUGCUGGAUGACAGAGCGAGACACUGUCUCAAAAAAAAAAAAAAAAAAAAAAAAAAGAUUUUAUUAACAAAGGGUCCCGCUGCAAAAUGACACAACACAACCGACAUCUGCGAACAGAGAACACCCAGCCAAGAGCACAGGCUUUGCAGCUGGCAGAUCCCAAAUCAUCACUUCAGGCCUGCUCGCUGGUCCCUGGACCUCGGGAACAUCGCUUUGCUGCUCUGACUUUCAUUCUUCCCUGCACAGAGAGGUCACGAUGCCUCUUCCCGGGGCUGCGAGGAAAAUGACCCGCACUGGCGUGAGCGGAGAACCUCUCCUCAGCGGUGCUCAGUACAGUGCGGCACUGGCUGCCACCCUGGGCAGAAACUAUGGAGCAGAGGUGAGGCCUGGCAGAGGUCUGGUUCCUGACAGAGUCCCCAGAGCCUGGCCCAGGGAAGGUGCUCAGCAAAUGGCGACCACCACCUGCUGGCGCGUGAGAGCUCCCUGCCCUGUUGACUGUGACUGCAUCUGCUGUGUCUGGGGUGGACCUGUCCUGGCACACACUCAUCUCUGCGUACACACCCACCACACCCCACACCACACACCCACUCACCACACACUCACCCCCACACC
rnacentral:lncRNA from 1 species